rnacentral:rRNA from 1 species
GCAAGUCGAACGAGAUCCUUCGGGAUUUAGUGGCGGACGGGUGAGUAACGCGUGAGGAUCUGCCUAUAGGACCGGGACAACAGUUAGAAAUGGCUGCUAAAACCGGAUGUGCCGAGAGGUGAAAUAUUUAUAGCCUGUAGAUGAGCUCGCGUCUGAUUAGCUAGUUGGUGUGGUAAAGGCACACCAAGGCGACGAUCAGUAGCUGGUCUGAGAGGACGAUC